AUAAUCCUACGGGGGGCAGCAGUGGGGAAUAUUGCACAAUGGGGGGAACCCUGAUGCAGCGACGCCGCGUGAGUGAAGAAGUAUUUCGGUAUGUAAAGCUCUAUCAGCAGGGAAGAUAAUGACGGUACCUGACUAAGAAGCCCCGGCUAACUACGUGCCAGCAGCCGCGGUAAUACGUAGGGGGCAAGCGUUAUCCGGAUUUACUGGGUGUAAAGGGUGCGUAGGGGGCAGGGCAAGUCAGAUGUGAAAGCUCGGGGCCCAA
rnacentral:rRNA from 1 species